UGAACUACCGCAACACUCCGGCUUUGAACCA
rnacentral:piRNA from 1 species